rnacentral:tRNA from 1 species
GGAGAGGUGGCUGAGUGGUCGAUAGCAGUUGCCUGCUAAGCAAUUGUCCUGGGUAACUGGGACCCUGGGUCCGAAUCCCAGCCUCUCCGCCA